UUCAUACAUAAUUUGUAAGUCGCUCUGGUUAAGAGCGUCUGCUAAAUGACGUAAA
rfam:Salmo salar isolate Sally breed double haploid chromosome ssa27, whole genome shotgun sequence.